rnacentral:lncRNA from 1 species
CCAGGUCCAGUCUUGUACCCCUAGCCCCUCCGCCCCAGGUCCAGUCUUGUACCCCUAGCCCCUCCGCCCCAGGUCCAGUCUUGUACCCCUAGCCCCUCCGCCCCUGGUCCAGUCUUGUGCCCCUAGCCCCUCCGCCCCAGGUCCAGUCUUGUACCCCUAGCCCCUCCGCCCCAGGUCCAGUCUUGUACCCCUAGCCCCUCCGCCCCAGGUCCAGUCUUGUGCCCCAGGUCCAGUCUUGUGCCCCUAGCCCCUCCGCCCCAGUCUUGUGCCCCUAGCCCCUCCGCCCCAGGUCCAGUCUUGUGCCCCAGGUCCAGUCUUGUGCCCCUAGCCCCUCCGCCCCAGGUCCAGUCCUGUGCCCCAGGUCCAGUCCUGUGCCCCUCCGCCCCAGGCCCAGUCCUGUGCCCCUCCGCCCCAGGCCCAGUCCUGUGCCCCUCCGCCCCAGGCCCAGUCCUGUGCCCCUCCGCCCCAGGCCCAGUCCUGUGCCCCUCCGCCCCAGGCCCAGUCCUGUGCCCCUCCGCCCCAGGUCCCAGUCCUGUGACCCUCCACCCCAGGCCC